GGACGAACGCUGGCGGCGUGCUUAACACAUGCACGUCGAACGGAAAGGCCUCUUUCGGGGGGUACUCGAGUGGCGAACGGGUGAGUAACACGUGAGUAACCUGCCCUUGACUUUGGGAUAACUUCAGGAAACUGGGGCUAAUACCGGAUAGGAGCUCCUGCUGCAUGGUGGGGGUUGGAAAGUUUCGGCGGUUGGGGAUGGACUCGCGGCUUAUCAGCUUGUUGGUGGGGUAGUGGCUUACCAAGGCUUUGACGGGUAGCCGGCCUGAGAGGGUGACCGGCCACAUUGGGACUGAGAUACGGCCCAGACUCCUACGGGAGGCAGCAGUGGGGAAUAUUGCACAAUGGGUGGAAGCCUGAUGCAGCAACGCCGUGUGCGGGAUGACGGCCUUCGGGUUGUAAACCGCUUUCGCUCAUGACGAAGCUUUGUGUGACGGUAGUGGGUAAAGAAGCACCGGCUAACUACGUG
rnacentral:rRNA from 1 species